GACGAACGCUGGCGGCGUGCUUAACACAUGCAAGUCGAACGGAAAGGCCUGCUUUCCCUUGUGGAUUGCGGGUACUCGAGUGGCGAACGGGUGAGUAACACGUGAGUGAUCUGCCCCCAACUUGGGUAUAAGCCUGGGAAACUGGGUCUAAUUCCCGAUAGGACUGCAGGGUGGUGCCUGUGGUGGAAAACGAUUUUCUAGUGGUUGGGGAUGAGCUCGCGGCCUAUCAGCUUGUUGGUGGGGUAAUGGCCUACCAAGGCGGCGACGGGUAGCCGGCCUGGGAGCGUGGACGGCCACAUUGGGACUGGGAUACGGCCCAGACGCCUACGGGAGGCAGCAGUGGGGAAUAUUGCACAGUGGGCGGGAGCCUGAUGCAGCGACGCCGCGUGGGGGAUGACGGCCUUCGGGUUGUAAGCUCCUUUCGACCGAGAGGAAGCCACCUGGUUGGAAGGGUGGUGACGGUAGUGGUAGAAGAAGCACCGGCUAACUACGUG
rnacentral:rRNA from 1 species